UGGGGGAUUUUGCACAAUGGGCGCAAGCCUGAUGCAGCGACGCCGCGUGAGGGAUGAAGGCCUUCGGGUUGUAAACCUCUUUUGCUGGGUUGAAAGGCCAUGCUUUGGGUGUGGUUGAUUUGAACUGGUAAAGAAGUACCGGCUAACUACGUGCCAGCAGCCACGGUAAUACGUAGGGUACUAGCGUUGUCCGGAUUUAUUGGGCGUAAAGGGCUUGUAGGUGGUUUGUCGCGUCUGUCGUGAAAUCCUGUGGCUUAACCAUGGGCUUGCGGUGGGUACGGGCAGGCUUGAGUGCGGUAGGGGAGACUGGAAUUCCUGGUGUAGCGGUGGAAUGCGCAGAUAUCAGGAGGAACACCGGUGGCGAAGGCGGGUCUCUGGGCCGUUACUGACACUGAGGAGCGAAAGCGUGGGGAGCGAACAGG
rnacentral:rRNA from 1 species